AUGAGGUUCCCUGCUCAGCUCCUGGGGCUGCUGAUGCUCUGGAUCCCUGGAUCCAGUGGGGAUGUUGUGAUGACGCAGACUCCCCUCUCCCUGCCUGUCACCCCUGGAGAGCCGGCCUCCAUCUCUUGUACGGCUAGUCAGAGCCUCCUACAUAGUGAUGGAAAUACCUAUUUGAAUUGGUACCUGCAGAAACCAGGCCAGUCUCCAAAGCUCCUGAUCUAUAAGGUUUCCAACAGGUUUUCUGGGGUCUCAGAUAGGUUCACUGGUAGUGGAUCAGGGACAGAUUUCACACUUAAAAUCAGCAGGGUGGAGGCUGAGGACGUUGGAGUAUAUUACUGCAUGCAAGGUACAAAAACUCCACCCACAGUGAUACAACUCCGAACACAAACCUCUCUGCUUGGCAUGGUCCAGCUGCCCACAUUCGCGGCUUGUCUGGGAGAGCAGCCCAGCAGAUUUUCUAAGUCUCUGAAAGAGGAAGUUGUAGGAGAACUCAGGGGAAUAGUUUGCUGCUGGGUCUGUGGGCCAUGA